CCCUCUCUCUGUGAGAAUAUAUGUGAAUUAUCUUUAAAAUGGUAAAACCACAGAAAUUAUCGUAUGAUGAGCGCUGAGAACAAGGCAUGGCAUGAACUCCAUGAAGUAAAAAGAGAUGUGGAAGUCCUUCUUCAGGAAAGCUCUGAGAAACCAAAAUAAGAUGCCAUUUCGUACAUGUGGACUUUUGAAAUGCGGAGUAAUGUGAAAUAACACUAAAGGAAAAACGGGGCUGUUAUUCGUCCUCCAGGAGGUAAGACUUACCCAGCACUCGUCCAGGAGCUUCAGUGUAGCACUACCGAGCAUCUCCCGUAUGAGGGGCACGUCACGGCCAUCUGACUGUCCUGGCUUCUGACAUCAGACUUGCAGGAAAUGCCCCCCCCACCCCCAGACGUCAGUCAGUACUUUGUGUGCAGCCCACACACUGGGCUACGUGGCUACAGCCUCUCUCCGGGACCCAGAGCACGCCUCCCCUGGAGCCUGGCUCUCCCGCCUGAGGGCUCGUUUGCUCUGACGCACAAGCCGACGCAAAGGAGAGUAACCCGUUCAUCGCCAUCACGGAAUUGGCCGCAUAUGGGAUCUGACCCAGAGCUGAAAGGAAGGACAGAGUCCCCCUGUUCUCAAGCAGUGACAAUACGGUGAGGGAUCUCCUCGAGGAGAAGACGGAACGUUUCUGAUUGAUGGUCAACCGUCACCACACUCAGUGCGACUUUCUGGCCCCUAAGGUCCCAGGAUUGAGACAUGUUAGGGAAGGCAGAUAUGGUGUGAGCCCCCUCUAGGCCAGAGAAUAAGCUUCUCUACUGGACCUCCAGGCAUCCAGAGAAGGACCAGAGACGAUCAAAGGUGAUCUCGAACUAAGGAGUACCGGCGGAUGCUCAUCCUAGCCUGUGGGAGCACGGAGGGAGUGACUCCCGUGCGGACGCUCAGGGUGCACACGGGUUUCCUGGCCUUUCCGGCAGGAAAUGAGAGGAACACCCCGGAGCACGGAAACGAAGCUGAGACCAGCUCGAGGACAAGCUGAUGGAGCUCAUCCUUCAAACGCACGCAAGCAGUCACUCUUCAGGCCGCGUCACAAAAUGCGCGUCCACUCGGAUGGUCGUUGGGGCCCCUCUGAACCGGCCCCUGGACGUGACGAUGCCUCCAGAGGAAAUCCACCUGACAGCGUGCAACACAAAGCAUCAUUAUUAGGCUGUUUCUCACGGCUCAUGGCCGGUUAACUGCAAACACGGGGUCAGAAACGGUUUUUACACGCUCCUGUUAGAUGGAAAGUGAAAAUUAAACAUGUUGGUAUCAUUCUCUA